GGAGUUAGCCGGUGCUUCUUCUGUGAGUGAUGUCCUUCCUGCCGGUUAUUGACCCGCAGGCCUUCUUCCUCACUGAAAGUGCUUUACAACCCGAAGGCCUUCUUCACACACGCGGCAUGGCUGGAUCAGGGUUGCCCCCAUUGUCCAAUAUUCCCCACUGCUGCCUCCCGUAGGAGUCUGGGCCGUGUCUCAGUCCCAGUGUGGCUGAUCAUCCUCUCAGACCAGCUACGGAUCGUCGCCUUGGUGAGCCGUUACCUCACCAACCAGCUAAUCCGACAUAGGCUCAUCCGAUAGCGCGAGGCCCGAAGGUCCCCCGCUUUCCCCCGUAGGGCGUAUGCGGUAUUAGCCUGAGUUUCCCCAGGUUAUCCCCCACUACCGGGCAGAUUCCUAUGCAUUACUCACCCGUCCGCCGCUCGCCACCAGGGAGCAAGCUCCCCGUGCUGCCGCUCGACUUGCAUGUGUUAGGCCUGCCGCCAGCGUUCAAUCUGAGCCAGAAUCAAACUCUGA
rnacentral:rRNA from 1 species